AUUGAACGCUGGCUGCAGGCCUAACACAUGCAAGUCGAGCGGAGCGACCGACGGGUGAGUAAUGCCUAUGAAUCUGCCUGGCAGUUGGGGUUAACGUCCGGAAAGGGGCGCUACUACCGCCUAUUCUCAGAUGAGACCACGCCGGAUUAGCUAGUUGGUGGGGUAAAGGCCUACCAAGCCGACGAUCCGUACCUGGUCUGAGAGGAUGAUCAGGCACACUGGAACUGAGACACGGUCCAGACUCCUACGGGAGGCAGCAGUGGGGAAUAUUGGACAAUGGGCGAAAGCCUGAUGCAGCCAUGCCGCGUGUGUGAAGAAGGUCUUCGGAUUGUAAAGCACUUUCAGUUGGGAGGCGUUACCAACAGAAUAAGCACCGGCUAACUCCGUGCCAGCAGCCGCGGUAAUAC
rnacentral:rRNA from 1 species